rnacentral:rRNA from 1 species
GCAAAUAGAGUUCCGACCAGAGAUGGAAGGAAUGCUUUUAUUAGAUCAAAACCAAUCGGUGGCGGGCUUGCCUUGCUCACCGUUUGACUUGGUGACUCUGAAUAACUUUGUGCUGAUCGCACGGUCUCGUACCGGCGACGCAUCUUUCAAAUGUCUGCCUUAUCAACUGUCGAUGGUAGUUUCUGCGACUACCAUGGUUGUUACGGGUAACGGGGAAUCAGGGUUCGAUUCCGGAGAGGGAGCCUGAGAAACGGCUACCACAUCCAAGGAAGGCAGCAGGCGCGCAAAUUACCCACUCCCGGCACGGGGAGGUAGUGACGAAAAAUAACGAUACGGGACUCAUCCGAGGCCCCGUAAUCGGAAUGAGUACACUUUAAAUCCUUUAACCAUGAUCAAUUGGAGGGCAAGUCUGGUGCCAGCAGCCGCGGUAACUCCAGCUCCAAUAGCGUAUAUUAAAGUUGUUGCGGUUAAAAAGCUCGUAGUUGAAUCUGUGUCCCACACUGUCGGUUCACCGCUCGCGGUGUUCAACUGGCAUGUCUGUGGGACGUCCUACCGGUGGGCGCAGCCCGUCAAAAGGCGGCCCAACUCAAAAUCCUACCACGGUGCUCUUCACCGAGUGUCGAGGUGGGCCGGUACGUUUACUUUGAACAAAUUAGAGUGCUUAAAGCAGGCUCAUUCGCCUGAAUAUUCUGUGCAUGGAAUAAUGGAAUAGGACCUCGGUUCUAUUUUGUUGGUUUUCGGAACUCCGAGGUAAUGAUUAAUAGGGACAACUGGGGGCAUUCGUAUUGCGACGUUAGAGGUGAAAUUCUUGGAUCGUCGCAAGACGGACAGAAGCGAAAGCAUUUGCCAAAUGUGUUUUCAUCAAUCAAGAACGAAAGUUAGAGGCUCGAAGGCGAUCAGAUACCGCCCUAGUUCUAACCAUAAACGAUGCCAGCUAGCGAUCCGCCGAAGUUCCUCCGAUGACUCGGCGGGCAGCUUCCGGGAAACCAAAGCUUUUGGGUUCCGGGGGAAGUAUGGUUGCAAAGCUGAAACUUAAAGGAAUUGACGGAAGGGCACCACCAGGAGUGGAGCCUGCGGCUUAAUUUACUCAACACG